UAGUUGGUGGAGUGAUCUGUCUGGUUAAUUUCGAUAACGAACGAGACCUUAGCCUGCUAAAUAGGAUCGGGAACCUCGGUUCUCGCAUCACUUCUUAGAGGGACUUUGCGUGUCUAACGCAAGGAAGUUUGAGGCAAUAACAGGUCUGUGAUGCCCUUAGAUGUUCUGGGCUGCACGCGCGCUACACUGAUGCAUGCAACGAGUUUUUGACCUUGGCCGGAAGGUCUAGGUAAUCUUUUGAGUAUGCAUCGUGAUGGGGAUAGAUUAUUGCAAUUAUUAAUCUUCAACGAGGAAUGCCUAGUAGGCGCAAGUCAGCAGCUUGUGCCGAUUACGUCCCUGCCCUUUGUACACACCGCCCGUCGCUGCAACCGAUCGAAGGGUCCUGUGAACUCGAUGGACAGCCCAUCCCCUUCUUGGGGUUGGGCUGGAAGUUGCGUAAAUAGAGCCCUUUAAAGGAUGCAAAAGUCGUAACACGGUUUCCGUAGGUGAACCUGCGGAAGGAUCAUUC
rnacentral:rRNA from 1 species